UACGUAGGGACCGAGCGUUGUCCGGAUUCAUUGGGCGUAAAGAGCUCGUAGGCGGCUGCUCAAGUCGAAUGUGAAACCUCGAGGCUUAACCUCGAGCCUGCAUUCGAUACUGGGCGGCUAGAGUCUGGUAGGGGGAUCUGGAAUUCCUGGUGUAGCGGUGGAAUGCGCAGAUAUCAGGAGGAACACCCGUGGCGAAAGCGGCUCUCUGGGACGGUACUGGACGCUGAGACGCGAAAGCGUGGGGAGCAAACAGG
rnacentral:rRNA from 1 species